AUGCUGUUUCUCAACCUGUUGAGGGCUGUCUUUGCCUCCAUCUGCCUUGGGUCCAGCAUGGCCCAGAGUGUAACUCAAGACCAGUCAGCAAUUUCUGUAGUGGAGAGGGAGGCUGUGACCUUGAACUGUAUAUAUAAAACCCAGAAUACUGACUAUGCUUUACUCUGGUACAAACAACGACCAACUAGGGAAAUGAUUUUCCUUAUUCGUCAAGAGGCUUAUAAUGAGCAGAGUGCAAUGAAAGGUCGAUAUUUCCUGGACUUCCAGAAAGCAACCAAAUCCAUCAACCUCACCAUCACAGCUUUGCAGCUUGAGGACUCAGCAGUGUACUUCUGUGCUCUGAGAUUUACACAGUGA